rnacentral:lncRNA from 1 species
CCGUGUGUGUUAUGGUAAGACCAGAACCAUCUCCAAUAAGAACAUCAUCAUUGCCUUCAUAUCCUUGGUGAAGAGAAAGAUUGUCAAGAUCAGCAGUAACAUGAUGACUUGCCCCAGAAUCUAUAACCCAACUGGGGUUUGAAUCUUUUAUGGAUGUGUGAUUGACAACCGGUUGAGAUGAGAGCUUGUCUUUGAGCAUACGACAUUGUUGAGCAGAAUGUCCACGCUCCUCACAAAUUUGGCAAGUGACCAGUGGUUGAUUUCUUCUAUAGUUGCUGUUCUGACUUGUUUGAAUUUUGAUUUUGAUUAUGGCCAUGAUUAGGAUUGGCAUUGCGUUGUUGGAAGUUACUGCAUCUGUAGUUUUGAUAAGGAGCUCUGUUAUUGUUGGUAUAUCCAUUUCUAGUAAAAUUAGCUGUAAUGGGAGAUAAUUCAGGUCGAGUUUCCUUCAUGCUUGAUAGCUUCUUCUUGUUCAACCAGCUUAUCAUGGAGCUCCUCAAAGGAGAUUGGAUUUUCUCGAGCACGAACAGCAGCUACAAUUUCAUUGAAUUCUGGGCUAAGACCAUUGAGGGAAAAAAUGAUCAAGUCAUCUUCUACAAGUAGAGCAUUAAUUAGAGAGAGCUCAUCAGCAAUACACUUAAUAGUUUGAAGAUAUUCAGACACGGAUUUGGAUCCCUUUGUCAUCAGAUGGAGGCAUUCCUUCAGAUGCAUGAUUCGAGAACGAGCUCGAUUAGCUAGAGUCUUUCUACACGAGACUAGGCUUCUUGUGAGGUAGCAGAGGAAACAAUUAGUGGCAUGAUAGGUUCAGACAAGGAGGCCAGGAUCGCAUAGAGUAAGAGCUGAUCUUAGCGCUUCCAUUGAAGAAAAGCAGGAUUUAGAGCAGGUGCAUCAUUCUGUAGAAUAGUUUCAGGUGGAUUGGGUGCCAUCUAUAAAUCCCAAAAGAUCAUAGCCAAAUAGAAGAGAAUUAAAUUGUGCUCUCCAGGAUGGGUAGUUGUUUGGUGAAAGUUUAACAGGAAGCUAGGCUACAGUGUUAAUGGCUACAAGAAAUGGUGCAGGGGGUUGCCAUUGAUUAUGGCUGGGAUUUGGUUAUUUUUCGGCCAUAAGGAAGAAGGAGAAAACUAUUUGCUUGUGGGAGCUUUAAUGCUCUGAUACCAUAAAGAGAU